GCAAAAUCUGAAGCAUGAAGCUUGUCAAUCACCGUUGGUCCAGGAUUUGCCAGAAUAAGCUGUAAGAAAAUGCAGGCACCUGAGGUUGCAGGUUGCAACUCCUCUUCAAAGGAGAAAAUAAAAAAACACAUUUUUUCAAAAAAGGGGAGAGAUGGAGGGCUGCUUACUCCGUGGUGGACGUUGCCCCAUACGGAGUUCAUUACAGAAAUAAUAUCUGAUUUCUUUGU